UACGGAGGGUGCAAGCGUUAUCCGGAUUCACUGGGUUUAAAGGGUGCGUAGGUGGGUCUGUAAGUCAGUGGUGAAAUCCCCGAGCUUAACUUGGGAACUGCCGUUGAUACUAUAGAUCUUGAAUAUCGUGGAGGUAAGCGGAAUAUGUCAUGUAGCGGUGAAAUGCUUAGAUAUGACAUAGAACACCAAUUGCGAAGGCAGCUUACUACGGAUUGAUUGACACUGAGGCACGAAAGCGUGGGGAUCAAACAGG
rnacentral:rRNA from 1 species